GUUCCCAUCGUCUAGAGGUCUAGGACUCAAGAUUCUCAUUCUUGCAACACGGGUUCGAAUCCCGUUGGGAAUGCCA
rnacentral:tRNA from 1 species